GUCUACGGCCACACCACCCUGAACACACCCGAUCUCAUCUGAUCUCGGAAGCUAAGCAGAGUCCGGCCUGGUUAGUACUUGGACGAGUGAUAAGAGAAAAACCUCUGGAGCUGGGGAUA
rnacentral:rRNA from 1 species